UUUGACAAUGAUGAUGCGAGGCUUCGGAGGCUGUUGAAAGUUUCAAGAAGAUUGCUCUACACUUCGGAUGAACACUACACUCAUACUAGCGGCCCACAUUACGAAUACAUGAUUCUUGGUUGUGUCAUUGUUGGCAUUCUCGCUUUAAUUCGAUGCUGCAUUAAAUACGGAUGUGAGGACACAGAAGACGAUUUAUCAGAUGCAACUAUUCAUCCUCCACCGAUAACUCAUCUACCAAGUCCUCCCAGAUCUGUAUCCAAUGCAUCAGUGCUUGCACCUCCGGCAACAAGUAGAGGCAUAAUUCUUCACCCAGACAGCAAUGUUUCCAUUAAUUUUCCUAAUGUAAUUAAUGUGGAAUUUGAUGAUUUGAGGAAUAUACCAAAUGCUACAGUUGGAGAAAACAAAGCUGCAACAAAUUUACAGGAUUUGCCACCGGAUUACUAUACUGUUGUAAAUAGCAGUACGCAUUUUUCACCAGUAAAGGAUACUAAAUGUCAGGAGGAAGCGAACAAAAUCAAGUCUUAUGAACCACCUCCAAAAUACUAAACAAGUCUGCGACUCAACACUGGAAUAAUUACGAGAAAGAUUAUUGGAAAGUUCUGGUGACUACCAGAAGACCUGUCAUUUUGAAGAUAGUUUCAAAAACCCCGACAUCUGGUUUCGAAACCACACAGACGAAGUCAACGAUGAUGAUUACCCUGAACAAACGAAUGAUAAAACAAUUAUCCUUGUCGUUCUUUUAAUCACAAUUGCAUUAGUUAUUAUGGUUUCCGUAUUUCAAUGCAUCAAGAGACAAACUGAUUCAGAAAGAAUUCCUGAUGCGCGUCAAAGACCUGCACAAUCAAUUUCCGUAGAUUCUAACAUUCUUAACAUUCUUUCAAGUACUGAGCAGUCAUUCGUAGAACAGAAUGGAGGAAUAACUAAUACUCAGGAAAUUGUGAAUCCGUUGUUUGAUCAUCCACCGGAUUACGCUACUGUGGUUAUUAGCGAUUUGAUUAAUACAGGAGUUCGCUACGCAAAACCGAAGGCUGAUGAGACACCACCACCAAUGUAUCAAGAUCAAUUUAAAUUAACCAGAAUAUAAAAUAUUCAUUCAAUAACCUAUGUAUUAUUCAAAAAUUGAUAUCGUGAUAGAAAUUCUGUUUCAAAACAUUCAUCAAUCAGAUUUGAAGAUUUGCAUGAAUAAUCAAUCGCAGCUAGGACUUUUAUAAGUUUUCUGAUUCCAUUUCUUUACCAUCAAUCAUCAAUUUAGUUCUUUUACAUCUUCUAUGAAAUUAUUUAUUUAGAAUUUGCUGUAUGUGUAUUUUAAUUAUUCAAUAAACAAAAUAUGCUUUCGUGGAUUUAAAAA